UAGGGAAUCUUCCACAAUGGACGAAAGUCUGAUGGAGCAACGCCGCGUGUGUGAUGAAGGCUUUCGGGUCGUAAAGCACUGUUGUAUGGGAAGAACAGCUAGAAUAGGAAAUGAUUUUAGUUUGACGGUACCAUACCAGAAAGGGACGGCUAAAUACGUGUCAG
rnacentral:rRNA from 1 species